rnacentral:rRNA from 1 species
CAGCACCUCAAGUGGUCAGGAUGAUUAUUGGGCCUAAAGCAUCCGUAGCCGGCGCUGUAAGUUUUCGGUUAAAUCUGUACGCUCAACGUACAGGCUGCCGGGAAUACUGCAGCGCUAGGGAGUGGGAGAGGUAGACGGUACUCGGUAGGAAGGGGUAAAAUCCUUUGAUCUAUUGAAGACCACCUGUGGCGAAGGCGGUCUACCAGAACACGUUCGACGGUGAGGGAUGAAAGCUGGGGGAGCAAACCGGAUUAGAUACCCGAGUAGUCC